UACGGAGGGUGCGAGCGUUGUCCGGAAUCACUGGGCGUAAAGGGCGCGUAGGCGGCCUGAUAAGUAGGGGGUGAAAUCCUGCGGCUUAACCGCAGGGCUGCCUUCUAAACUGUCGGGCUAGAGCACGGUAGAGGCAGAUGGAAUUCCCGGUGUAGCGGUGGAAUGCGUAGAGAUCGGGAAGAACAUCAGUGGCGAAGGCGGGUCUGCUGGGCCGUUGCUGACGCUGAGGCGCGACAGCGUGGGGGAGCAAACAGG
rnacentral:rRNA from 1 species